ACGGUCGCAUCAGGUUGAAACACCGGUUCCCGUACAAUCACUGAAGUUAAGAAACGUUGAGUCUGAUUAGUAUUUGGAUGGGUGUCAGCUUGGAAAUAUCAGGUGCUAUA